rnacentral:rRNA from 1 species
GGAAGUAAAAGUCGUAACAAGGUCUCCGUAGGUGAACCUGCGGAGGGAUCAUUACACAAAUAUGAAGGCGGGCUGGAAUCUCUCGGGGUUACAGCCUUGCUGAAUUAUUCACCCUUGUCUUUUGCGUACUUCUUGUUUCCUUGGUGGGUUGCCCACCACUAGGACAAACAUAAACCUUUUGUAAUUGCAAUCAGCGUCAGUAACAAAUUAAUAAUUACAACUUUCAACAACGGAUCUCUUGGUUCUGGCAUCGAUGAAGAACGCAGCGAAAUGCGAUAAGUAGUGUGAAUUGCAGAAUUCAGUGAAUCAUCGAAUCUUUGAACGCACAUUGCGCCCUUUGGUAUUCCAAAGGGCAUGCCUGUUCGAGCGUCAUUUGUACCCUCAAGCUUUGCUUGGUGUUGGGCGUCUUGUCUCUAGCUUUGCUGGAGACUCGCCUUAAAGUAAUUGGCAGCCGGCCUACUGGUUUCGGAGCGCAGCACAAGUCGCACUCUCUAUCAGCAAAGGUCUAGCAUCCAUUAAGCCUUUUUUCAACUUUUGACCUCGGAUCGUAGGGAUACCCGCUGAACUUAAGCAUAUCAAUAAGCGGAGGAAUCUUG